rnacentral:lncRNA from 1 species
GGUACGGGGGGGCCGGGGUGGGGGGGCGUACGGGGGGCUGGGUCCCAGUUACACCAGUAUGGGGGGAUGGAGCCCAGUUACACCGGUAUGGGGGGAUGGAUCCCAGUUACACCGGUAUGGGGGGAUGCUGGGUCCCAGUGAUACCAGUAUGGGGGUCUGGAUACCAGUGAUACCAGUAUGGGGGUCUGGAUCCCAGUGAUACCAGUAUGGAGGGAUGCUGGGUCCCAGUGAUACCAGUAUGGAGGGAUGCUGGGUCCCAGUGAUGAUCCCAGUGCUGCCAGUACUGGGCAAUGCUGGAUCCCAGUCAUACUGGUACCGAGGGAUGCUGGAUCCCAGUCAGACCAGCAUGGGGGAUGCUGGAUCCCAGUCAGACCAGUACUGGGCAAUGCUGGAUCCCAGUCAGACCAGUACUGGGCAAUGCUGGAUCCGAGGGCUGCCGGUAGUGGGCUGAUGGUGGGACUGGGAGCUACUGGUACUGGGGAUACUGGUGUGGGGGAUACUGGUGUGGGGCACACUGAUACUGGGGAUACUGGUGUGGGGCACAGCAGUACUGGGGAUGCUGGUGUGGGGCACAGUGAUGCUGGUGUGGGGCACGCUGAUACUGGGGAUGCUGGUAGCGGCGCUGCCACGCCGGGCGCAGUGCUGCACCACGUGGGUGUUGUGCUGGGGGUGUUGGGAUGGAGCAGAGCUGCUCCUGGGCAGGCUGUGUGUGGGGGUGUUGGUGCUGCGGGGGCUGUCGUGGGGGUGUUGGUGCCGGGGAGGGUGGGGGGUGUUGUCGGUGCG